rnacentral:rRNA from 1 species
CUUUCAUGGAGAGUUUGAUCCUGGCUCAGGACGAACGCUGGCGGCGUGCCUAAUACAUGC